UUUUUAAUUGGGAUCUUGUAUGAAUGAUUGAACAAAAGAAAACCUGUCUUUAUAUUAAAUUUUGAAUUUAACUUUUAAGUGAAAAGGCUUAAAUGUUCUAAAGGGACGAUAAGACCCUAUAAAACUUUACAUUAAUAAUUAAUUUUUUUUUAAUUUUUAUUAUAACUAUUAAUUUAGUUUUUAUUGUUUUGUUGGGGAGAUGGAAGCUAUAAUUUGUGUUAACUGCUUAAUAAAGAAUCAAUAGUUUAUGAGUGGUUAUUAAAAGAUCCUUUAUAAAGAUUAAAAGAUUAAGUUACUUUAGGGAUAACAGCGUUAUUUUUUUUGAGAGUUCAUAUCGAAAAAAAAGAUUGCGACCUCGAUGUUGAAUUAAAAUAUCUUUAUAAUGUAGGUGUUAUAUAARAAGGUCUGUUCGACCUUUAAUUUUUUA
rnacentral:rRNA from 1 species